rnacentral:tRNA from 1 species
GCCGCCUUAGCUCAGUUGGUAGAGCUACUGAUUUGUAAUCAGUAGGUCGUCAGUUCGAAUCUGACAGGCGGCUCCA